AUGGGUUUUUUUCCUUCCUCCCUUCCUGCCUUCCUUCCUGCCUUCCUUCCUUCCUCCCUUCCUUCCCUCCUCCUUUCCUUCCUGCCUUCCUUCCUCCCUUCCUGCCUCCCUUCCUUCCCUCCUCCUUUCCUUCCUUCCUCCCUUCCUGCCUCCCUUCCUGCCUCCUUCCUCCCUUCCUGUCUUCCUGCCUCCCUUCCUCCUUCCUCCCUUCCUCCCUUCCCUUCCUCCCUUCCUGCCUUCCUUCCUUCCUGCCUUCCUUCCUCCCUUCCUGCCUCCCUUCCUGUCUUCCUGCCUCCCUUCCUCCCUUCCUCCCUUCCUCCCUUCCUGCCUCCCUUCCUCCCUUCCUGCCUUCCUUCCUCCCUUCCUGCCUCCCUUCCUCCCUUCCUGCCUCCCUUCCUCCCUUCCUCCCUUCCUCCCUUCCUGCCUUCCUUCCUCCCUUCCUGCCUCCCUUCCUCCCUUCCUCCCUCCCUUCCUGCCUGCCUGCCUUCCUUGCUCCCUUCCUGCCUGCUUUCCUUCCUUCCUGCCUGCCUGCCUUCCUCCCUUCCUACUUUCCUUCCUUCCUGCCUGCCUGCCUUCCUUCCUCCCUUCCUGCCUGCCUGCCUUCCUCCCUUCCUGCCUGCCUUCCUCCCUUCCUCCCUUCCUGCCUGCCUGCCUUCCUCCCUUCCUGCCUGCCUGCCUUCCUCCCUUCCUGCCUGCCUGCCUUCCUCCCUUCCUGCCUGCCUGCCUUCCUUCCUCCCUUCCUGCCUGCCUUCCUUCCUCCCUUCCUGCCUGCCUUCCUCCCUUCCUGUCUUCCUGCCUCCCUUCCUGCCUCCCUUCCUCCCUUCCUCCCUUCCUGCCUUCCUUCCCCCUCUACAUCCCCCUCCCUCCAACCCACACCCUGAACUUGUUUUGUGGCCACACCUGUGCUGUGUGAUUUCCAGGCCUGAUAUUUUUAAAGUUUUUCAGAGUUUCCUGAGAGUCAUAGCUGGAGGGUUUCUUGCAAUCCUAGGAACCGCCAGGGCAGGUCCAGGCACAACACUGGUUGUUAAAAAGCUGAGACCCAACAAAGCAGGUAGACGGUGGGGAGAGCCCAGGGCUGAGGGAAAGUCUCCAGGCCCCCCCCCCCCCACACACACACCCCUCAAUAGGGAAGUGGGAUAG
rnacentral:lncRNA from 1 species